UACGUAGGUGGCAAGCGUUACUCGGAAUCACUAGGCGUAAAGCGCAGGUAGGAGGUUUGGUAAGUCUGUUGUGAAAGCUCCCGGCUCAACUGGGGGAGGUCAACGGAAACUACCAGGCUAGAGUGUGGUAGAGGAAGAUGGAAUUCCCGGUGUAGCGGUGAAAUGCGUAGAUAUCGGGAGGAAUACCUAUGGCGAAAGCAGUCUUCUGGACCAUCACUGACUCUGAUCUGCGAAAGCUAGGGGAGCAAACAGG
rnacentral:rRNA from 1 species